AUUAAUUUGAGAGUUUGAUCCUGGCUCAGGACGAACGCUGGCGGCGUGCCUAAUACAUGCAAGUCGAACGAACUCUGGUAUUGAUUGGUGCUUGCAUCAUGAUUUACAUUUGAGUGAGUGGCGAACUGGUGAGUAACACGUGGGAAACCUGCCCAGAAGCGGGGGAUAACACCUGGAAACAGAUGCUAAUACCGCAUAACAACUUGGACCGCAUGGUCCGAGUUUGAAAGAUGGCUUCGGCUAUCACUUUUGGAUGGUCCCGCGGCGUAUUAGCUAGAUGGUGGGGUAACGGCUCACCAUGGCAAUGAUACGUAGCCGACCUGAGAG
rnacentral:rRNA from 2 species